UACAGAGGUGGCAAGCGUUGUUCGGAAUUACUGGGCGUAAAGGGCGCGUAGGCGGCCUUCUAAGUCAGACGUGAAAUCCCCCGGCUUAACCUGGGAACUGCGUCUGAUACUGGGAGGCUUGAGUAUGGGAGAGGGAUGUAGAAUUCCAGGUGUAGCGGUGAAAUGCGUAGAUAUCUGGAGGAAUACCGGUGGCGAAGGCGGCAUCCUGGACCAUUACUGACGCUGAGGCGCGAAAGCUAGGGGAGCAACGGG
rnacentral:rRNA from 1 species